rnacentral:rRNA from 1 species
CGAGGAAUAAAUAGGUAACGUACCCCGAUCUCCAGAAUAGUGUCUAGAUACUUCGGUAUCUUUCCGAAAGGGGCAGUAAUACUGGAUAAUAUCAUUUGCUUAAUGCAGAUGAUCAAAGAUUUAUCGGUUUGGGAGCGGCCUAUUUCCCAUCAGCUUGUUGGUAAGGUAACGGCUUACCAAGGCUACGACGGUUAUCGGGACUGAGAGGUUGACCCGACGCAUCGGAACUGAGACACUGUCCGGACCUCCACGGAGGGCUGCAGUAACGAAUAUUGCACAAUGGGCGCAAGCCUGAUGCAGCAAUGCCGCGUGUAGGAUGAAGCUCCUCGGAGUGUAAACUACUGUCAGGGGUUAGAAAGUCUUCGGAUUGAUCAGCCCCAGAGGAAGUCACGGCUAACUUCGUGCCAGCAGCCGCGGUAAUACGAAGGUGGCAAGCGUUGUUCGGAAUCACUGGGCUUAAAGCGCACGUAGGCGGAACAGAAAGUGUCUUGUGAAAGCCCCCGGCUUAACCGGGGAAUUGCUCGGCAAACUCCUGUUCUUGAGUCAAGUAGGGGUACAUGGAACUCUUAGUGGAGCGGUGGAAUGCGUAGAUAUUAAGAGGAACGCCAAUGGUGAAGACAGUGUACUGGGCUUGUACUGACGCUGAGGUGCGAAAGCGUGGGGAGCGAACGGGAUUAGAUACCCCGGUAGUCCACGCCGUAAACGAUGUCUACUAGGUUGUGGAGGUUCUGACACACUCACAGCCGGAGCAAAAGUGUUAAGUAGACCGCCUGGGGAGUACGGUCGCAAGGCUAAAACUCAAAGGAAUUGACGGGGGCUCACACAAGCGGUGGAGCAUG